UACGAAGGGGAGCUAGCGUUGCUCGGAAUCACUGGGCGUAAAGGGUGCGUAGGCGGGUCUUUAAGUCAGGGGUGAAUCCUGGAGCUCAACUCCAGAACUGCCUUUGAUACUGAAGAUCUUGAGUUCGGGAGAGGUGAGUGGAACUGCGAGUGUAGAGGUGAAAUUCGUAGAUAUUCGCAAGAACACCAGUGGCGAAGGCGGACUCACUGGCCCGAUACUGACGCUGAGGCACGAAAGCGUGGG
rnacentral:rRNA from 1 species